GUGUUGGCUUAGGUAUCACAUAUAUACAUAUCAGAAUGAUAAAAAAGAACAGCAUUCCCCUGUUCAAAGAGGACACUCAUAUUUGUGAAGUGCUCCAAAUUUUU